GUCAGGGUUCCCUUCUUAACCGCGGCUUUUAUGCGCUGUGCCGGAGCCCUGGAACUGGCUGCCUGGAUUCCGCGGGGCUUGGGAGAGCGGUGCUCAAAAAGAUCCUGCAGGAGAUGACACCCACAUCGCAUCCGGAAGAACUAAACUGAGGGAUUUCAAAGGACAGAACAGAUCUAAGGGACUGAACUGUCAACAAGUAAAUAAUUUUUCCACAGUGGGAUCCCAUGGGAGAAAGAUGCUUCUGUCCGACGCAGGCCCUGAGGAGACUGGCUACUUCAAAGAUUGCUCCACUCACAGGCCAAACUUUUCCAUACUAGGUGAUGGGCCCGUCCCCGCCCUGCCUGGUACACUCCCACUGAAGAGCAAGGAUAAAAUUGAUUGUCUAUGAGAACAAAUCAUUUUAAUAAUUAACUUUAUCAGCACAGAUUCACAGUAUGACAGAUACCUGCACCAGUGAGAGACGGAGGUUAUCCUUCAGACAAAAGAAGAAUGUUAAUCUGUCUCCAAUCUUCAUCAUAAUGUAUCUGGCCUUUAUUUUUGCCCAGUGUCUCCUACAGAUCCCUAAAUCUUCCCUCAACUCCUCCCAGAGAAAAAUCAGAGGCUGGAAUG